rnacentral:lncRNA from 1 species
CCACGGUUUGCUUUAAUUUUGGUGGAGGGAAAAUAGGCAGUUCACUAGAUGUAAUGUUAUUUUACAGUUUCUCUUACUGCUGAGAAGCUCCUGCUUUUUUAUUUUUCUAAUUUGAGAGAUUUUGAAAUAAUUCGAGUUGUCAGAGAAGUGAGUGUGUGCAAGGAGAUACUCUGCAUCUUUGCAGCUAAAUUUGGGAGAGGGAGAAUCAGGACUUCUGGUUUCAAUUUCUCUCCUCUGAAUCUUUUCCUCUGAACGUUUUAUUUAAACUAUCUCACAGUCGUGCUGAAUAGACCCGGGGACUGGGGGAGGAAGCUCUCCACUAGUUACCAUUCAAAAGGUGUCGGCUAAAAUCUCAUUGCAAAAAGGUAUUGUAGCUUUAACAUCUUGCAUUGGCAGCAUUCUUCCCCCUUAGUCUUUGGAUUAGUCAUUGUAUGAGAGACAGAAAAAAAAAAUCACUUUUUUUUUUUUUUUGGAAAAAGUAAAGUAAACAGCCUCCAACAAGUGAACCUUGACAACCCAGAUUAAGGAAGGCAGGAGAGAUCAAACAAAGCUGCUGCUGGGCUGUUGUCAGGAACUGCCUCACUGAAAGCUCUGGACUAUUCGACCAGGCAGCAAGGCUAUAUGUUCACUUAUGCAGAAAUGGACCAUUACAAAUGUUGAGCUUUGUUGUGAAACCGAAGGAUAACUUUGAGAAAAAUAACUACUAUUUCAAACAAGAGCUGCAGAGGAGAAGGCGUUUCGCUCAUGUAAUGUUGAAAACAGCGUACAAGUUCUGUGGAAUUCAGCUUUUUAUUUCUGGAUCUCUGAAUUUUACAGCUAAAUAGAUGGAGGUGGUGGCUGCUGCUGCAGCAGACCUGGCUGCUUCUCACUGUCUGCUCCCGAGCAUGUGAUCCCUGCGCUUCUGCUGACUCCCAUCUGACCAGCGAGUGAGAUGACUUGGGAAGCUAAACCAGCAGAAAAUGAACUUGAGCAAGAAAAAAGUUUUCUGCUGGUUGAACAUGCCAAUUUGACUCUUUGGAGGUCAGACAAAUAAUGGGACUAAUGCGAGGAGAGGGAGAGGACCACCGCCUUGAGAAGCUGCUGGCCUCCUGGUUGGCUUAGCUAUUACAUGAAACCUCUGCCAAAGGCUCUGCUUUCAGCCUUUUGUCUGGAUCCACGCUUCCGUGCGGACGAGAGGUAUGCUUAACCUUAACCAAAGCCCUGUGUUUCUUGGCUCUUUGUCCUGCAGCACUCCAAGGAGAGAAUAGCUUGGGGUCUCUGGCUUUCUUCCUUUUCCCCAUCUUUGGGGUGAGCCAGUGUGAUAUAGUGCCCUUCUCCUGGAGGUGUCUUUGGGGCAUGCACACGUGCGUGCUUGGAGCAGUGGAAAGAGCUUGUGCUGUGUGAGCUGGGCAGCAAAGGGUGGAGGAGCCCCAUGGUGAG